rnacentral:ribozyme from 1 species
CAAAUCCUUGUAAGUCUUUUUUUCUUUUUUCUUUCUUCUCUCCUCCCAUGUCAAGUUUCUCAUCGCAUUGGUGGGAUUGGGAUCUCCCUGGAAACGGUGUACACACAGAGACGAAUGGAGCUGUAAAACAAGCAUUCCACAUCUGUUUCUUUCAAAUAUCGCCCAAUCGGUAGGUGAAACGACAGGAAAAACACAAAAGAAAUCGGGAAAAAGAA